GAGAGGUAGAGUUGUUGGAGCUGGCAGGUCCUGUUGUGAGGGGGAAGGAGUUGGUGGUGGUGCCUGUGAGAUUGCAACAGAUAAAAGGUAUGAAGGCUUUGAUAAACUCCUGAUGCCUGCUGCCAUCUUCAGCAUCUGCUUUUUGAGUCCCCUCUCAACCAGGGAGAGGUAUGAGAGUUUUUAGGUGUUAAGAUCUGGAGUUGGAUUAACUUGUCUGGUGGACACUGAAGUCUGAGAUGGGUUUUUUUCUGAGAAGUCUGAACUUCUGGUAACGCUUUGCAGACAUGUACAGCUCCUUUUUCACUUGGAAUAGAAAGAAAAUUACUGAGAGGAUUUAUUUACAGCAGGUAGAUAUCAAAGCUGGCUGCUGAAGUGCAAGCAAGGCUGGCAGGGCAAGGUGGCUCAACAUCCAUUAAAUAAGUCAUCAGCCUUCCCUUGAUCAUCUGUUAGUCACUCCAGUUUCUCUACAGUUAUUACAUGCAGUAGGCAGUAAAAACUCGAAAACUACACUGAAAAAUAAAUUGAAAUUGU